rnacentral:rRNA from 1 species
UACGUAGGGACCAAGCGUUGUUCGGAUUUAUUGGGCGUAAAGGGCGCGUAGGCGGCUGGGCAAGUCAAAGGUGAAAUCCCUCGGCUCAACUGAGGAACUGCCUUUGAAACUGCCUGGCUUGAGGCCGGGAGGGGGUAGCGGAAUUCCCAGUGUAGCGGUGAAAUGCGUAGAUAUUGGGAGGAACACCAGCGGCGAAGGCGGCUACCUGGACCGGUUCUGACGCUGAUGCGCGAAAGCGUGGGUAGCAAACAGG